UCCACCAGCUGUCGCCACGUUCAAGUUAAUGUUGCAGAGAGCUGUACUUGAUAGUAUUUAGUGCAGGGAGAGAAGCCAGAGGGAUGAAAAGUUUGCAUUAUGAUGUUAUGAAUGUCAUGGAUGAGUACUUCUGGUGAAGAACAACAACGAAAAGAGGAAUAUUUAUGCCAGUAUUUUCCCCUUUUCUCGUUUAGACACAGUGAGCUGUUGGGCAGCAUGUCAUUUGCGAUGGAGAAGGUCCUUAGAUGUGUGCAGUCUGCCAGGGGGUGGUACAGACUUCUGAAGCAGGGCCCUGGAGCAAAAGGGGCGUUGCGACAGUGCCUUUAACAACAGCACGGAAUGCCCACCAUCAGUAGAUGCUUUUACAGUACCUAAUUCAAAAAUGUGCAAUUUGGAAGUGCUUUCUCACUCAUGUUCCGUAAACACACAUGGAGUUUCCAGUCAAUCGUUGUAUGGCGUACAAUAAACUGCUAGACUCUC